AACUCUGAGUCAUGUUUUUACUUUUGUUUUCACAUUUGGGGAAUCCCCGCUCAGGUUUUACUUUCAUUUGGUGUCUGUCCAGGUACUUUCAUACCAUACAGCUUGUUUAGUCAGCCAAUCAGAGACCUGCAGCAUGGUGGCGUGUCACGACUAAAGGUCUAUUCUGUUCUAUUCUAUUCUACAGGCUGCACAGGGUCAGAGUGGACGUUUUGGAGCAGGAAGCACCUGAAGGACAACGUUAAAGACAGUCAAACUUCCUCUGAGGAGAUGGACAGAAACGAGGAACUGGAGUAAGUCUGGAAGCAAGGAGUGAAAUGAAACGAGAAGAUUUUCUCUGUGUUUUGUUUCAGGAUCCAUCUGUGGACAGAUUAAAUGUUUGCCGUGCUUAAAAUGUUUUUUCUAUAAUUCCUGUUUCAGCAAAUUGUUUCAGAGGUUACGCGUAUUUAAACACUACAGAGCAGACAGACUGAGCAGCUGUGAUGAAAGGC
rnacentral:lncRNA from 1 species